GAUGAAGAACGUAGCGAAAUGCGAUAAGUAAUGUGAAUUGCAGAAUUCAGUGAAUCAUCGAAUCUUUGAACGCACAUUGCGCCUCCUGGUAUUCCGGGAGGCAUGCCUGUUCGAGCGUCAUUAAAAUCACUCAAGCUUAGGUUUACCUAUUGCUUGGUCUUGGAGAUGGAAGCCAAUUCAUUGGAAUCCUCUUCGAAAUCCAAUGGCGAAGACCCUUGCUCUCCCAAGUGUAGUAAUAACUUAUGUCACUGAAGGAAGCGAGAAAUCUUCCGCCGUAACCCCCAUAUUUUCUAUGAUUGACCUCGGAUCAGGUAGGGAUACCCGCUGAACUUAAGCAUAUCAAUAAGCGGAGGA
rnacentral:misc_RNA from 1 species